rnacentral:piRNA from 1 species
UGGCAACUUCAAAGCCUACUACGAGAGUGA